GAAGAAGUAUUCAUGAAGCUCAGGAGACUGUGUGAAGAGGUAUCUUUCCUUUUCCUUCAUUCCCGAUUGAUUUAGAUACUUUAAUAUCAUAUUGUUCAUUUUCUUAAGCUCUUCUAUGUUCUUCCUUUCAGAUAUGAGUCUGCUUGAUAUUUGGUCCAUCUUGUUUCUAGUUUGAAUUAUUAAGAAUAUUACAAAUGAAACAAUUGCCAAACUGACAAUCAAAGUAAGAAUGAAGGCAAUGAAGAAGUAGCACUGGUUUCUUGUUUUAC
rnacentral:lncRNA from 1 species